CAAAAAGGUUAUCUUAUAAAUGGACUUUCUUGAUCACCACGUGACCUUGAUUGCUGGCGGUCCUGACUUGCAUCUACUGACUUAUUGUGAUGAAUCAUCAUAUGCAUCAUGCUGCUCAAGAAUAAGGCAAUGCAACAGCUACUCCAGAGAGACCAUGACCUUAUAAUUAACAGCACAGUGUUGAGAAAAUGGUGAUUACAUCUUCCACAUAUAAACCAUACCCACAAG